GGGCGUUUAGCUCAGUUGGUUAGAGCAUCUGCCUUACAAGCAGAGGGUCUGCGGUUCGAGUCCGUAAACGCCCACCA
rnacentral:tRNA from 2 species